GCCGGUGUAGCUCAAUUGGUAAAGCAACUGACUUGUAAUCAGUAGGUUGGGGGUUCAAGUCCUCUUGCCGGCA
rnacentral:tRNA from 1 species